rnacentral:rRNA from 1 species
GGGUUGUAAACUUCUUUUAUAUUAGAAUAAAGUGCAGUAUGUAUACUGUUUUGUAUGUAUAAUAUGAAUAAGGAUCGGCUAACUCCGUGCCAGCAGCCGCGGUAAUACGGAGGAUCCGAGCGUUAUCCGGAUUUAUUGGGUUUAAAGGGAGCGUAGGUGGGCUGGUAAGUCAGUUGUGAAAGUUUGCGGCUCAACCGUAAAAUUGCAGUUGAUACUGUCAGUCUUGAGUACAGUAGAGGUGGGCGGAAUUCGUGGUGUAGCGGUGAAAUGCUUAGAUAUCACGAAGAACUCCGAUUGCGAAGGCAGCUCACUGGACUGCAACUGACACUGAUGCUCGAAAGUGUGGGUAUCAGACAGGAUUAGAUACCCUGGUAGUCCACACAGUAAA